rnacentral:piRNA from 1 species
UGGUAGAAGUUACGUUAGCCUCA